AUGAAUGAAAGUUUAUCCAUCUUAAACUGGAAUGUCCGUGGCCUCAACUGUCCAAACCGCCGUGCAACCAUUCAUGAAACAAUCGCCGCUACCUCUUGCAAUCUUGUUUGCCUACAAGAAACGAAAUUAGCUGUUGUUGACCCUUUUGUGGCUUCUUUCCUGGGCGGUCAAAGACUGAAGAAUUUUGCAGAUAAACCUGCUGAUGGCACCAAGGGGGGAAUUCUUAUUCUCUGGAAUGAAGACUACAUGAAGGUGCACGGCAUCCAUGUUGGCACAUUUUGCAUCUCUGCGAACAUUUCUAUUGUCAAUACUCCCAUCUCCUUCAAACUCACUUCAGUCUAUGGGCCUACGAGAAGUAAUCUGAAAGACCCUUUCUUCCAAGAGCUUGUGAGCCUCAAGCCUGCACAGGGCACUAGAUGGCUAGUGACGGGAGACUUCAACCAAGUUUAUCGUGCUCGGGACAAAAACCGUGCAAAUGUGGACCGCACUCGCUUAGUGCGCUUUCGGAAUGCCCUUAACUCAUGUGAGCUGAAAGAAAUCCAUCUACAAAAUUGA
rnacentral:rRNA from 1 species